rnacentral:rRNA from 1 species
AGUGAACGCUGGCGGUAGGCCUAACACAUGCAAGUCGAACGGCAGCACAGGAGAGCUUGCUCUCUGGGUGGCGAGUGGCGGACGGGUGAGGAAUACAUCGGAAUCUACUCUGUCGUGGGGGAUAACGUAGGGAAACUUACGCUAAUACCGCAUACGACCUACGGGUGAAAGCAGGGGAUCUUCGGACCUUGCGCGAUUGAAUGAGCCGAUGUCGGAUUAGCUAGUUGGCGGGGUAAAGGCCCACCAAGGCGACGAUCCGUAGCUGGUCUGAGAUGCUGAUCAGCCAGACUGGAACUGAGACACGGUCCAGACCCCUACGGGAGGCAGCAGUGGGGAAUAUUGGACAAUGGGCGCAAGCCUGAUCCAGCCAUACCGCGUGGGUGAAGAAGGCCUUCGGGUUGUAAAGCCCUUUUGUUGGGAAAGAAAUCCAGCUGGCUAAUACCCGGUUGGGAUGACGGUACCCAAAGAAUAAGCACCGGCUAACUUCGUGCCAGCCGCCGCCGUAA